UACGGAGGGGGCUAGCGUUGUUCGGAAUCACUGGGCGUAAAGCGCACGUAGGCGGCUUCUUAAGUCAGGGGUGAAAUCCUGGAGCUCAACUCCAGAACUGCCUUUGAUACUGAGGAGCUCGAGUCCGGGAGAGGUGAGUGGAACUCCGAGUGUAGAGGUGAAAUUCGUAGAUAUUCGGAAGAACACCAGUGGCGAAGGCGGCUCACUGGCCCGGUACUGACGCUGAGGUGCGAAAGCGUGGGGAGCAAACAGG
rnacentral:rRNA from 1 species